UAAUGAACGCCGGAGAGAGAGAGUUCUCCCUUGUAGACCGUGGCCAUGGCUUUGGCAGCCCCUGACAGACACGGCGCUCCCGUCUCCUCGCACCCGGUAGCGGACUGAACCGGUAGAGGGGGGCUAACACUGGGAUAAGCGUUAGCUACGGCACUCGAGACGGUUCAGCCGCCUGGACUCGCUUAACGUUAACGUUAUAUAUCUACGUAUUGUUUCUAUUUUUUCUUCUCGUGUGUUAAUCCGUCUGUUCCUGGUUCACGGGUUUUCAUGUUGACGGCACGGGAGGCGGCUUCAUACCACAAGUCCAGCAUUGAUCUUUCAGAGCGGCGCGGGAACAUUUCCACUUCCAACGGGGACGCGCUGCCAUGUUUGUGUCCGUGAGCGGGACCGGCCUCCAUCUUCACAGCACCAGGUGGAGCCCCUAAAGAAACCUACCUGUGCAUGCUCAGAGGCGGGGCCAAGCGUCGACUUCUUCUUCAGAUGGACUCGGGCAAACCACCAGCUUUCUUCAACUAAAGACACAAGAUGGAAGAAUAGAGCUCAGGACUGCCACAGCGCUGCCUCCCGCCCGUCCUCUCCUCUCAUCCAAUCAGAGAGAACGACCUCUCCGGCUUUCUACCUCCCCAGAGAAAUAGAGACGGGGGGGGAAAAAAGAAAAGUAAAAGCAAGUUAUUAAUCGUUAUCUAUUCCUCUAUUUCUUUCCGUCUCUUUGCGCAGCAUUUCUCCAUUUUACCUCAGGGAUUUUCUCUCCCACUGCCUACCUCCUCUACCGAAACGGCCAACCCCCAGUGACCGGAAAACACGCAGGGCCGAAACACACCUGUGACCUCUCGCUGCCGUUACCAUGACAACCUGUAUUGCCUCUCGAGCUCUCCUCACCGCAGCUGUGACGACCAGCAACGACCUCGGACCUCUCGCCACUCGCCAGCUCAGACCUGCUCACUGCCUCAACUGUACCGAUCCACACUUGUAGCCUGGGUUGGUUACUCUACUGGACGGAGGGGGGUGGGGGGAAGCUACACACUCAGAAUAGCCUCACCCUUCUGUGCAAUACACCUGGCAGGAACACCACAUACCUCAGAGACACUCACUCAAGGAAACCCAAAGGGAACAGCGACAGCAUUCCUGGUGCUCAAACCCACGAGCUCACAAGCCCGGUGGGUCCGUUUGCCCACGAGCAGAUUCUCCUUCAGCAUCUUCCCUUUGCCUUAGAGGCAGGGGGAUAGCAACAGUAGCCAGGCAGGGCUCCAGAGAAGACUCAGGAGCCGCGGCAAACAAUUCCAUUUGAUCGGCUUCCCCAGCAAAGUCGCAUCGUACCCUCGCGGUCCAAGCGGUAGCAUACGGCAGCCGUUGCCCCCAAGAGGCCUUUCGGGGGGGGGGGGGGGGGAUAUCACAGGAGAGGCUCAAAGUUCCCCCAUUCACCUGGUGCGUGUCACCCUCAUGAAGCCUCGAGAGACGUUAAUCCACCCACGGAGCAGGAGAAGUUCUUAAGGGGGCCGCGACAGCAAAAUCUAUAUCGAGGCUAAAGAACUCUUCUGUGGCGGAUGAAGAGCAGAGCAUUGUGAACCGUCCAGAAGUUACCGCGCUCCGCUUUGUGUGACGGCGGAAAAGAAAAGGAGGGGGGACGGCGUUCAGUACGGAGAAGAAUGCAGCGUUCUCUGACGCUUCCCCUGACGUCCCGCCCGCCGUGCUCCGCUCAGCCAACCGCCGCUCAGAUUCUCAGAUGGCUGACCGCUGAAGGGGCCGCCGGCGAAUGCUGAGCCGGCUGGCGAGGUCGAGGUCCGCCUCAUUGUCCUGUGAUUGGCUGCUGGACGGGACCGAGGCUACAUGGAGCCAAUGUCCAACACGCCGGAUAGCAACUCAUCAGAGGGAGAAGAGAAAGGGUGGCCAGAUGUGCCGAAGAGAAAGAGCAAGAACAGCCAGUGUUCACUGAAGAGCGAGUCAGGUAAGGAGUUCUCGUCUCCGCCUCUUUGUCCGCUGCCCGCCUCCCUCUGGCUGCCAACGUGAGGAUCUCCUCUCCCGUCCCUUUAGAGUUCUGUUAUUUUCCAAAAACAAAGUGAAGAAAGGACAUAUUCAGUCAUUUAAUUAAUAUAUUUCUUUCAGUGGUUAGUUUACAUGAGGACAUCAGCCCACUGUUCCUUCACUUAAAGUAAAACAGCAUUUAUACAACAAGCAACGCAAAAAAAUUGUGAAAUAAUCUCAAACUAUAAAAUAAGAGAACAUUUGUGUUUUAUUUCACCUUUCUUUAUUUCAUUUGUGUUGUUUUAAUUCAGUUCAGAAAAAAGGCGGAUCGCAACAGAAGUCAUUGGUACCCCUGAAGCUUGUUGAAUCAAGUUGUAUUCAUAUCUAAAAUUGUUACGAUCGGUUUAUGUGGAUUUUUUAACGUUUAUAUAUUACAUUGCGGUCCAAAAUUCCUCUUUAUUCCACAUCUUUUAAACUCUGCAUUGUGGAGCCACUCUCCCUGUGCUUUCAGAAGGCCUCUGUGUGUACUUGUUGCCCUUGCACAUUCCUGCUGAGCAUUGCCACUUUCAUUUCACUGCACACCCUGUGUGUGUAUGUGACAAAUAAAACAUCUUGAAUCUUGAA